GGGUUAGGCAGGGUGCAGUGGAGGAGGGUACGCUGUCCCAUCGGCGUGGUACUGUCGGCGGCCCUUCAGAGGAGAUGCUGCCCCACGGAACUACUGGCAAGUGCUGGCGAAGCGGCAUGGGCGUCCCACUCCGUUCCUCAACCAAUUUCCUCACAAUCGCGAGCCGAAGUGUGGCGCUUUGGCAGUUUCGCAAGGUCUUUUGUCAGGAGAUGAGUGACUGAGGAUUGGGAGUCUUUGGAGCUCUUGGACCUGAAGAACGAUUAAGUUUUUCUCCCUUCAGAGAGCCAAGAGAUGGGGUCUUGCUGUAUUGCCCAGGGUGGAGUGCAGUGGCUAUUCACAGGUGUGAUCAUAGCUACUAUAGCCUCAAACCCUGGUUUCAAGUGAGUCCUUUGAACUAGAACAUUGGCCUUUUCUGGUUCUGCAGAAGCUUCCAGCCUUCAGAUUUGAACUGGGACACUGGCUCUGCAGAUUUUGGACUUGCCAGCCUUCAUAAUUGUGGUCCCGCUCUGUUGCCCAGGCUGGAGGGCAGUGGCGUGAUCAUGGCUUACUGCAGCCUUGACCUCCUGCGCUCAAGUGAUCCUCCUGCGUCAGCCUCCUGGAACAUGUGGUUUUGAGCUUCAGAGCUCAGUGGCCUCAGACAGGGGCGUUGUGGCUGCAGUGUCCACCGCCUGCCCAGAGAACCUACACUCCUGUCAUUUGUGGAAUGAUUGCUGGAGCCAGAGGCCAGGAAGAAGUUCAUGAGCCUGAGAGAAAAAGCAAGGAUUUCCAGUUCUACCCUACAGAGUCUUGUUCUGUUGCCCAGGCUGCAGUGCAAUGGAGUGAUCUUGGCUCACCACAACCUCCACCUCCCAGGUUCAACCGAUUCUCCUGUGUCAGCCUCCCGAGUAGCUGGGAUUACAGGCACCUGCCAUCAUGCCUGGCUAAUUUUUUUGUAUUUUGGAGAGACGGGGUUUCACCAUGUUGGCCAGGCUGGUCCUGAACUCCUGACCUCAGGUGAUCCACCUGCCUCUGCCUCCCAAAGUCCUGGGGUUACAGGCAUGAGCCACCGCACCCAGCCCCAUUCACAUCACUUUAAACUGAAGACAUUAUCACAGAACCCUAGGAGUGACAUGAGACUCCUUGCACAUGGGAAAUCUUUGCUUAUGGAAAAGAAGAAAAGCAAGGUCAGGGGCAGGUGGAUAGACAUAAAGGUCUUUACCAACAAGUUCAGGCUUCUUGUUUGAGAGAAUCUGGUAGAAGAUGUGGUAGCUUCUCUCAGCUGCUUGCUGUGAGAUGACACGAGAUUUCUCUAAGAGAUCUGAAAAAGAAGUGAAGAUCCUGGUGAGUACACAGCUGUUUCCCUGGAGUUCAGGGCUCCAUACAAAGCAGGAAUCUCCUCUCCAUAAAGCCCAGAACAGUCACCAGUGGUGAGCCCCACGCUUCGCUCUUUCCAGACACGCAGCCUCCGGGGACCUGACUGCCACAAGGGGAGUCCUGGGAACGGGGCCAGCCUCCUGGGCACCAACAGGCUGCAAUCAGAAGGACCUCCCACUUGGCUUAAUGCUCUUCUGUUGCUGUUUUGAAAUUCCUUUAUUAUUAUUAUUAUUAUUAUUAUUAUUAUUUUUAGAGACAGGGUCUUGCUGCGUUACCCAGGCUGGAGUGCAGUGGUGUGAUUAUUUAUUUAUUUAUUCUUUUAUUUUUAUUUAUUUUUUUGAGAUGGAGUCUUGCUCUGUUGCCCAGGCUGGAGUGCAAUGGAGUGAUCUCGGCUCACUGCAACCUCUACCUCCCAGGUUCAAAGCAGGAAUCCCCUCUCCAUAAAGCCCAGAACAGUCACCAGUGGUGACUGUUCACUGCAGCCUCUAACUCCUGGGCUCAAGUGAUCCUCUUGCCUUAGCCUCCUGAGUAGCUGGGACUACAGGCAUGUACCACCAUGCCAGGCUAAUUUUUCACAUUUUUUGUAGAGAUGGGAUCUUACUAUGUUGCCCAGGCUGGUCUUGAACUCCUAGGCUCAAGCGACCCUCCCGCCUCGGCCUCCCAAAGUGCUAGGAUUACAGGCAUAAGCCACCUCACCUGGCCUGAAAUUCUUAAUAUUUUUUAAGAAGAGCCCCUCAUUUUCAUGUUGCACCAGGCCUCACAGAUUAUGUAGCUGCCCAGACAAACCCUCCAAGGAGGGCCUGACUUACAGCUCUCGAUGUCGGCUCCAGCCAGUUUCCCUGUGGUUCCAAAGUGGAUUCGGAUGAACUUGCCCUGAGCAGGGAAGAGAGGGGAGGGAUCAGGAGGGAGGUCAUCCACAGCUUUAGACCAGUAAGUAGCCCAGAGUUGGCCAAGGGUUGCUGAUCGGGGCCUGCGGGGAUGUAACCGGGCUCUAUUGGAGUAUCGGAUUUCCCACGAAGAUAGACAGAGAAACACACGGAGAGGUCUCAGAGCUAAAUCUAGGGUCUGUGGUUUGGGGCAUUUGUAGGGGAGAGAAGUCCCAGCAGGAGGGCUGCUACCCUUUGGAAUUCUGCAUAGAGACCAGGCACCAUGGGAAUUUGGAGCACCUCCCAUGCCUCUUUAUCGGGAGCCUUCCAUGUCAUUCUUCUCUCUGGCUUGCAUGGUACAGCCAUCAAUAAAUUCUUCCGGAAACAGGACUCUCUAUCUCUCUCUACCUCGGCUGCUCCUGGGCCUGUCUGUACUCACCUCUGUUCCUCCCCUCAUCCCCCCGCCAGCCCUGUUUUCCCAGGCUCUGUGCAAGCUCACUGGGCUCUGCCAAUGGGAAGCCCGAGACCUGGGAGUGAGGGAGACGAGGCCAGGGCAUUGCUCCUCUCAAGUUGGCAUCUCAGGUGGUGCUGGGUGCCUCUGUGACUACAGCUCCCGCCAGACAGCUGCACUGGUUUAAGAACCCACUAGGACCCUAGGACAGCACCUCUCUUAUGUCCCUCCAGCCUGGAAGGAGGUUGCAGCUUCUCGCUGCUGUGAAUCUGUCUCCCCAGGUGACCUCCCAGCCCCUCCAC